AUGUAGUCAUUUCCCAGGGGUUUCCUUCUUCAUUCAUCAGGGGCCAUAUUUUUUCAUUUGACAGAAAGAGCUGGAUAUUGAAGUGUAAACUCCCUUUGAGAGAAGCAGAGACAGGCUCACUGUAAGCAAUGGGUGACAAUCUCUACGCCUUUCUGAACAUGGGGUUUGAUGAAGGAAGAAGAGGAAACAUGAAGACAGUGAGAGCUUGUUAUAAAAGACUAAGUGAACCCUAAAGGUCUUCGGGUCAGCCAUGGCUUCACUGAACUUGGCUCAAGAUUUCAGACCAGCUUCAGAUCUACUCUAUUUGGUUCAUUAUACUCCUUGAACCAGCCACCAACUAAGCCACAUUCUUCUAAUUAUACAUCGCAAGACCACAACAAGUGUUUUGAUCAUUUUACUGAUCUAAUGCAAAUCACCUUGAGUGUCAUUGCUUUUUACACCUCAGAGUGAAUCAAGACUCUGACAAGUGGUCCUGAAAUGGAUGACAAAAGCAAGAGUUGAAGAGAUAUGAGUACUUGGAGGUAGGUUUGAUCUGACUGUGCCAAAGGAGGAACAGGAAGUAAAUUUGGGACCUCUAAAAACUCUUUUCUCUUGCUUUACAAGAAUUCCCUUGCUUAAAAAAAAUGCAGUUAGACUUUUCAAUGGAUGCAACUUAAAAAAAAAAAAAAAACCUGAAAGAUAGCCUGCAAAAAAAUAAUAAAU
rnacentral:lncRNA from 1 species